rnacentral:snRNA from 1 species
ACCAGGUAAACCAAUUGGG